AUUGAACGCUGGCGGCAUGCCUUACACAUGCAAGUCGAACGGCAGCGGGGACUUCGGUCCGCCGGCGAGUGGCGAACGGGUGAGUAAUGUAUCGGAACGUACCUUUCAGUGGGGGAUAACGUAGCGAAAGUUACGCUAAUACCGCAUAUUCUCUGAGGAGGAAAGCAGGGGACCUUCGGGCCUUGCGCUGAUGGAGCGGCCGAUAUCAGAUUAGCUAGGUGGUGGGGUAAAGGCUCACCAAGGCUACGAUCUGUAGCGGGUCUGAGAGGAUGAUCCGCCACACUGGGACUGCGACACGGCCCAGACUCCUACGGGAGGCAGCAGUGGGGAAUUUUGGACAAUGGGCGAAAGCCUGAUCCAGCCAUGCCGCGUGAGUGAAGAAGGCCUUCGGGUUGUAAAGCUCUUUCGGACGGGAAGAAAUCAUGAGGGCUAAUAUCCCUUGUGGAUGACGGUACCGUAAUAAGAAGCACCGGCUAACUACGUGCCAGCCGCCGCAGUAA
rnacentral:rRNA from 1 species